rnacentral:rRNA from 1 species
GGUUGAAGUUCAGGUAACACUGAAUGGAGGACCGAACCGACUUACGUUGAAAAGUGAGCGGAUGAACUGAGGGUAGCGGAGAAAUUCCAAUCGAACCUGGAGAUAGCUGGUUCUCUCCGAAAUAGCUUUAGGGCUAGCCUCAAGUGAUGAUUAUUGGAGGUAGAGCACUGUUUGGACGAGGGGCCCCUCUCGGGUUACCGAAUUCAGACAAACUCCGAAUGCCAAUUAAUUUAACUUGGGAGUCAGAACAUGGGUGAUAAGGUCCGUGUUCGAAAGGGAAACAGCCCAGACCACCAGCUAAGGUCCCAAAAUAUAUGUUAAGUGGAAAAGGAUGUGGCGUUGCCCAGACAACUAGGAUGUUGGCUUAGAAGCAGCCAUCAUUUAAAGAGUGCGUAAUAGCUCACUAGUCGAGUGACACUGCGCCGAAAAUGUACCGGGGCUAAACAUAUUACCGAAGCUGUGGAUUGUCCUUUGGACAAUGGUAGGAGAGCGUU